GAACGCUGGCGGCAGGCCUAACACAUGCAAGUCGAGCGGUACACAGAGAGCUUGCUCUCGGGUGACGAGCGGCGGACGGGGUGAGUAAUGUCUGGGAAACUGCCUGAUGGAGGGGGAUAACUACUGGAAACGGUAGCUAAUACCGCAUAACGUCGCAAGACCAAAGUGGGGGACCUUCGGGCCUCAUGCCAUCAGAUUGCCCAGAUGGGAUUAGCUAGUAGGUGGGGUAAUGGCUCACCUAGGCGACGAUCCCUAGCUGUCUGAGAGGAUGCCAGCCACACUGGAACUGAGACACGGUCCAGACUCCUACGGGAGGCAGCAGUGGGGAAUAUUGCACAAUGGGCGCAAGCCUGAUGCAGCCAUGCCGCGUGUAGAAGAAGGCCUUCGGGUUGUAAAGUACUUUCAGCGAGGAGGAAGGCUUAAGGUUAAUAACCUUGYGAUUGACGUUACUCGCAGAAGAAGCACCGGCUAACUCCGUGCCASCAGCCGCGGUAAUACGGAGGGUGCAAGCGUUAAUCGGAAUUACUGGGCGUAAAGCGCACGCAGGCGGUCUGUCAAGUCGGAUGUGAAAUCCCCGGGCUCACCUGGGAACUGCAUUCGAAACUGGCAGGCUAGAGUCUUGUAGAGGGGGGUAGAAUUCCAGGUGUAGCGGUGAAAUGCGUAGAGAUCUGGAGGAAUACCGGUGGCGAAGGCGGCCCCCUGGACAAAGACUGCGCUCAGGUGCGAAAGCGUGGGGAGCAACAGGAUUAGAUACCCUGGUAGUCCACGCCGUAAACGAUGUCGACUUGGAGGUUGUGCCCUUGAGGCGUGCU
rnacentral:rRNA from 1 species